CCUAUUGAAAAUACCAGUGAAAGUGAAGAUCCGAAUAUAAAUGAUAUGAAGAAAAAUAUUCAUAGUUGGGGGGGUCGUGACAAUUCGAAUUACAGUAAUGUUGAUCAUUUAUUCGGCGUCAAGGACAUUCGAAAUUUCAUCUUUGAUGAAACUUUUUUAGUUAGGGAUAUUAAUGGGAACAGUUAUUCCAUAUAUUUUGAUAUUGAAAAUCAUAUUUUCGAGAUUGAUAAUGAUCAUUCUUUUCAGAGUGAACUAGAAAGUUCUUUUUAUAGUUAUCAGAAUUCUAGUUAUCGGAAUAAUGGAUCUAACAGUGACGAUCCACUAUGAUCAUUACAUGUAUGAUACUCAAUAUAGUUGGAAUAAUAACAUUAAUAGCAUUGACAAUUAUCUUCAGUCUCAAAUCUUUAUUGAGACUGACAUUGUAAGUGGUAGUGACAAUUACAGUAACAACAGUUACAUUUAUAGUUCCAUUUGUGGUGAGAUUUUGGGGGUUCCGGUAUAAGAACCAGCACAGAUGAUAGUGAUUUAACUAUAAGAGAAAAUUCAUGAUCUGGAUGUAACUCAAAAAUACAGGCAUUUGUGGGUUCAAUGUGAAAAUUGUUAUGGAUUAAAUUAUAAGAAAUUUUUUAAAUCAAAAAUGAAUCUUUGUGAACAAUGUGGAUAUCAUUUGAAAAUGAGUAGUUCAGAUAGAAUCGAACUUUUGAUCGAUUCGGGUACUUGGGAUCCUAUGGAUGAAGACAUGGUUUCUCUGGAUCCCAUUGAAUUUCAUUCGGAGGAGGAGCCUUAUAAAGAUCGUGUCGAUUCUUAUCAAAGAAAAAUAGGAUUAACUGACGCCGUUCAAACAGGCAUAUGCCAACUAAACAGUAUUCCCGUAGCAAUCGGGGUUAUGGAUUUUCAGUUUAUGGGGGGUAGUAUGGGAUCCGUGGUCGGGGAGAAAAUCACCCGUUUGAUUGAGUACGCUACUAAAAAAUUUCUACCUCUUAUUAUAGUGUGUGCUUCCGGGGGGGCACGCAUGCAAGAAGGAAGUUUGAGCUUGAUGCAAAUGGCUAAAAUAUCUUCUGCUUUAUAUGAUUAUCAAUCAAAUAAAAAGUUAUUCUAUGUACCAAUCCUUACAUCUCCUACUACAGGUGGGGUGACUGCUAGUUUUGGUAUGUUGGGGGAUAUCAUUAUUGCCGAACCCAAUGCCUACAUUGCAUUUGCGGGUAAAAGAGUAAUUGAACAAACAUUGAAUAAAACAGUACCUGAAGGUUCACACUGAAUAUUUAUUCUAGAAGGGCUUAUUUGAUCUAAUCGUACCACGUAAUCCUUUAAAAAGCGUUCUGAGUGAGUUAUUUCAGCUCCACACUUUCUUUCCUUUGAAUCAAAAUUCAAUUAAAGAGCAUUAAGUUCUAUUUUUUUAAUUUGUAGCAAACAAGUAGUUAGUUUAUCGGAAUCCAAGUAAAAAUAAGACGGACGAGGUUUCUUUGUUGACAUAGGUCUAAUUGUAGAAAGAAUCAAAAGUUAAAGUUGCGCAUAACUCUUUUUUUCUAUAUUUAUAUUCCUGAUUACUAAUUAAGAAGCCUCUAUCAACAAGAUAAAAGAGUGAAUUCUUCUUUUCGUGAAAUUAGGAAAAUAAAAAAAUUUCCUCUUACCGUCUUACGUACGUAUAUAUAAUUCAAAUAUAGAAAAUGAAAAUAUAGAUAUAGAGUUUUUCUCUUUCUAUAUCUCCCGCGAAUCCCAUUUUGAUUAAGAAUCCCUUUUGGGUCGGAUUCUAACGAAUCUUUUGAUAAUUUGUAAGAAACUUUUUCUUUAUUAAAUUAUUAUAAGACGAGCAAAAGACGAAGAAAAAAAAGAAUAUAAUAAUAAAGGCGAUUAUCAUAUAUAUCUUUUAUAUAGAAAGAUGAAUAAGUCCAUCAUAUACUCACUUAGAUGUAUACUUAGAUCUAUAUUAAUGAAAAUUCGAAUUUCAGAAAUAUUAAUUAAUAAUAAUUACAAUUCUUAAUUAUAAUUAUUAUAAGAUAUCUUUAUAAAUAAAAAUAACAGGUACAAAUAGUCAAUCGAGGUAUCCAUUCUAUGACAACUUUCGACUUUCCCUCUGUGUUGGUGCCUUUAGUAGGCCUAGUAUUUCCGGCAAUGGCAAUGGCUUCUUUAUCUCUUCAUGUUCAAAAGAAUAAGACUGUUUAGAUCUGAUGGGACCAACUCUCAUCCGAUUUUUUUUUCAAAACUUAGACUUGUAUCAUAACACAUAUUUUUAUUUAGGGGAAUAUGGUAUAACAUGCGGUUUCCGCCGAACAUAAAGGAGAGGCUCUUAUGCUUGUGCCUGUAGAAAGAUGAUAUAUGGGUAAAGGAAUUCUAUCUAUUUGAAAAUAUAUCAGGAUCGGCGGAUGGCUGAAAUGUAAAGUCGGUGUAUCUAUAUGUAUAUCGAUGAGAUCAUACGAAGGGUAUGGUACGUUAUUAUUUUAAAUCUAACCAAUUUGAUGAAUUGCUCUUAAAGGUUCACAACAAACUAGUACUAGUUGAUGAGAGUUACUUCGGAAACAAAAAGAGUAAAGUCUGGGGUAUUUUCUUAAUUCCAAUAAAACGAAACCGGAUCAAGUAUGAGUUGUCGAUCAGAACAUAUAUGGAUAGAACCUAUAACGGGGUCUCGAAAAACAAGUAAUUUCUGCUGGGCCGUUAUCCUUUUUUUAGGGUCAUUAGGAUUCUUAUUGGUUGGAACUUCCAGUUAUCUUGGUAGAAACUUGAUAUCUUUAUUUCCGUCUCAGCAAAUCCUUUUUUUCCACAGGGGAUCGUGAUGUCUUUCUAUGAAAUUGCGGGUCUCUUUAUUAGCUCCUAUUUGUAGUGCACACUUUCGUUGAAUGUAGGGGGUGGUUAUGAUCGAUUUGAUAGAAAAGAAGGAAUGGUGUGUAUUUUUCGUUGGGGAUUUCCUGGCGUCGCAUCUUCCUCCGAUUCCUUAUAAAAGAUAUUCAGUCCGUCAGAAUAGAAGCUAAAGAGGGUAUUUAUGCUCGUCGUGUCCUUUAUAUGGACAUCAGAGGUCAGGGGGCCAUUCCCUUGACUCGUACUGAUGAGAAUGUUACUCCAUGGGAAAUUGAACAAAAAGCUGUCUAAUUGACCUAUUUCUUGCGUGUACCGAUUGAAGUCUUUUGAUAGAAUGAUAUAAAAGAAUAUUCAUUACUUAAAUGAAGCGGUUCUUUCGGGCAUUCAUCGAAAGGAGAUACUUGCUUCGAAUUUGACUAAUUGCGAUAUUUGGAAACAAUAUUUUUUUGAUUAUUUCUUCAUUCGAAGUGGAUUCUUAAUCUAUUUCUGUAUUCUUUCUAGACUCAAAGAAAAACUGCGAAAUCACAAAUAAAAAAAGUGAAUAGAUUCAUAGGUUCGAUACCUUGUAAUAGAACUCAUGCAUGAGAGAAAUAUUGGAUCGCAUAGAGUCGACUAAUGAGGUGGGUUCACUAAAAAUUCACAGAUGAAAUGAAAAAUGGCAAAAAAGAAAGCGUUCACUCCUCUUUUAUAUCUUGCAUCUCUAGUAUUUUUGCCCUGGUGAAUUUCUCUUUCAUUUAAUAAAAGUCUGGAAUCUUGGGUUACUAAUUGGUGGAAUACUAGGCAAUCCAAAAUUUUUUUGAAUGGUAUUCAAGAAAAGAAUAUUCUAGAAAAAUUCAUAGAAUUAGAGGAAAUCCUUCUCUUGGAGGAAAUGAUGAAGGAAUGCUCGGAGACACAUCUACAAAACCUUCAUAUAGGAAUCCACAAAGAAACGAUCCAAUUCAUCAAGAUACACAAUGAGGAUCGUAUCCAUACGAUUUUGCACUUCUCGACAAAUAUAAUCUGUUUCAUUAUUCUAAGUGGUUAUUCUAUUUGGGGUAAUGAAGAACUUGUUAUUCUUAACUCUUGGGCUUAGGAAUUCCUAUAUAACUUAAGUGACACAAUAAAAGCUUUUUCUAUUCUUUUAUUAACUGAUUUAUGUAUCGUAUUCCAUUCGCCUCAUGGUUGGGAACUAAUUAUUGGUUCUGUCUACAAAGAUUUUGGAUUUGUUCAUAAUGAUCAAAUUUUAUCUGGUCUUGUUUCUACUUUUCCAAUCAUUCUAGAUACACUUUUUAAAUUUUGGAUUUUUCGUUAUUUAAAUCGUGUUUCUCCGUCACUUGUAGUAAUUUAUCAUUCAAUGAAUGAUUGAAAAAGGAUCCACUUACAUUAAUCCAAUUCUAAUGUUUCUUACUUUGUAGUUGUACAUAAGCAAAGUAUGAAAAAUCAUACUUACUCUUUAUAUUUCCGGAGAUUUAUAUAUUAUUCCUAUAAAUAGGAGAAUCGCGGAUAGGGAACUAUAUUAGCGACCUAACCAAUUUAUUGUAGAAAUUUUUGAGAUCAAUGGUUGGACCAUGCAAACUAGAAAGACUUUUUCUUGGAUAAAGGAACAGAUUACUCGAUCCAUUUCCGCAUCGCUCAUGAUAUAUAUCAUAACUCGGACAUCCAUUUCAAGUGCAUAUCCCAUUUUUGCACAGCAGGGUUAUGAAAAUCCACGAGAAGCGACUGGGCGUAUUGUAUGUGCCAAUUGCCAUUUAGCUAAUAAGCCCGUGGAUAUUGAAGUUCCACAAGCCGUACUUCCUGAUACUGUAUUUGAAGCAGUUGUUCGAAUCCCUUAUGAUAUGCAACUAAAACAAGUUCUUGCUAAUGGUAAAAAGGGGGCUUUGAAUGUAGGGGUUGUUCUUAUUUUACCGGAGGGUUUUGAAUUAGCUCAUGUUGAUCGAAUUUCUCCAGAGAUGAAAGAAAUGAUAGGCAAUCUUUCUUUUCAGAGCUAUCGCCCCACUAAAAAAAAUAUUCUUGUGAUAGGCCUUGUUCCUGGUCAAAAAUAUAGUGAAAUCACCUUUCCUAUUCUUUCCUCGGACCCCGCUACUAAGAAAAAUGUUCACUUCUUAAAAUAUCCUAUAUACGUAGGCGAAAACAGGGGAAGGGGUCAGAUUUAUCCCGACGGGAGCAAGAGUAACAAUAUGGUUUAUAAUGCUACAGCAGCAGGUAUAGUAGGCAAAAUAAUAUGAAAAGAAAAGGGGGGGUUACGAAAUAACCAUAACGGAUGCAUCAGAUGGACGUCAAGUGGUUGAUAUUAUCCCUCCAGGGCCAGAACUUCUUGUUUCAGAAGGCGAAUCUAUCAAAUUUGAUCAACCAUUGACGAGUAAUCCUAAUGUGGGCGGAUUUGGUCAGGGAGAUGCAGAAAUAGUACUUCAAGAUCCAUUACGUGUCCAAGGCCUUUUGUUCUUCUUGGCAUCUGUUAUUUUGGCACAAAUCUUUUUGGUUCUUAAAAAGAAACAGUUCGCGAAGAUUCAAUUGUCCGAAAUGAAUUUCUAGACUCACGGAUUUAUCGACAUUGAGUUCAUAAAAUAAAAAGAAAAAUAAUUUUUGGUGAUUAUCUAUGAUAAAAAAAUUACAUUAUGAAAAGCCUUUUGCUUAUUUAUACUAUUUUUCCACGAGAUGUCGGGAAUUCCUUGUACCACAUUCCUAGUCAUAAUAUGUAGAUUGUGAAGAAGACUGUUUGACUUUACCCCUUCUUUGUCUUUGUUUGUUUUUUAAUCCAAAUUGGGGUGGUAUGGCUAUGUUACUAUUAUCACAUUUUAAUGUCAUAAAAUGCAUCAAUAGUGUUUUCUAUUCUAAUAGAAUGAAAUUCAACUAGAUACUAGACAUACCUUGAACCAUUUCAAUGCCACUUAUCGUCAAUAUAGUUUUCACGUAUAUGUUUUAGUUUCUUAAAAAGUUGACCUUUCAAUCUUAUUACGGCAUUGAGUACGUUAUUGAAGUGUCUACUUAAUUGUCUAACCAGAUCGACGAAAUUGUAACAUUAUGACACGAUUUUUCACAUGAUGGGCUAGCACAUAAAAGAAAAUGGUAACUUGUCCAUCUAUUUGAAGGUACUUUGUACUGCUAAGCUUGCAUGUGGUAUGUAAAAUAUCACACAACUGUCAUACACUAGCUCUCUCAUAAAUUUUAAUUCGCUCGAGCAAGAAAGGGUGUACUUUGGCGAGUAAAUGCUCUCAUACGUCUAUGUCGUGCCAUACAUAUAACAAAUUGCAUAAUUGCAUGAAUACGGUAACCACGACAACUAUUUCGGACCAAAAAUGAAAAAAAACAACUAAUUAUCUCUUCAUCCUCUUCCGUUUGUCUAAUCUACGACGAGCCAUGGCUGCAAUUCAAUUGAAAAAGUAAGAGUAAACUCAAACAACUCAAGAGCCAUGACUGCAAUUCAAUUAAAGAAAUAAGAUCAAACUCAAACAACAUACUCAAGAAAAUUAUUAAUGAGAAGGCAAUGAAAUAGUAACCCAACAAGCAUUUACUAGAAUGUGAAGCAAAGUUGAUUAUGACAGGUAACAAAUAGAAGUCACCAUAUGAGAAUAUAUAUGUGUUUAAUUAAGGUGUGUAAUGAGUAAAUAGAUCAAUCUAUAUCCCUCGACACCCAUUCACACAUUACUUAAAGUAUGAGGCAAUCAAACCAACAACACUCUCCUAGCAGCAAUUUAAAAACAGUCUAUUUUACAUGCAUGGAAUGCAACAGACCCUCCAAGGACUAAACAGUCUAGAAUUAUAUAGUUCCUCUCACUUUAAGCAGAACAUCAUGUCCAUGCUCAUUUCUUCAUCUUUUUAAAGAACACAAUUGAAUUAAAGUGUUUUAAUUUUCUAGCACUAAUUCAAUGUAUAUAACAAUGAGGACCAAAAUUAUAAAACAAAAGAAACAAGUGAGAUUUAAUUGUUUUUGUUUUAAUUAAUUUUGUGGAUAAACCUACAAUUAUUUAAAAAAAAUUGAAAUUAUCUUUAUGAUUUUUUCCCCUGUAAAUACAAAAAUGACAUCCUUACUACAUAAGAGAAGUUUGUAAAAUAAAUAACUUUAUUUUAGAGUAUUUUUUUAGCGCAUACAAAAAUUAUUGGGAUUCUGUUUCAUGUAGCUUUCAGCAGAGCUAGAGUAUUUUUUGAGUGGAUGGAUGUUAGUUUGGAUAAGGCUUUGUGAAAUUUAGAUAGACACACUUAUAAGGGGUUGAAUAAGUGUGAAAAUAAACUAUAUCAAAAUUUUUGUAAUUUAAAUAUUUAGUCAAAAAAUUUAAGUUUGCCAAUAUUUAUAAACUUAUACUAAUUGAUGACCUGAGUUGAAUUAAUUAAUAUUGUGAUGAAGUAUUAAGAUAUUCAAAUUAUAUUUUUCAAUUCAAAUUAAAGUAUCUAAUGAGCAAUUAAAAUAAGCACAAUCAAACACACGAGCACAAAUGAUUUUUAUGUGAUUUAGCCCUUAACCUCUACUCUAGUGGCCUAAUCCACGUCAAAUACCAACUAAUAUUAGAGACUCACUUUAUUAAUCAAUAUAACACCGUUACAGAACAAGUUUACAAAUUACUCGAACACUUUUGUUCACCUUGUACACUUGUACACCCCUUGAAUACCUAUACUCACUUGAACACUUUUGCGGUACACUUAUGUACCCCAAACACCUAAGCUUCCUUAAACUUGUUUGUAACAAACUUAAUCCAACCCGGAUUAGAACUUGUAGACUAACCUUAGUCUAUUUAUGCAAUGAUUAAUGUAAUGUAAAGAAUUAGGUUAUCACCCGUUAUAAAGCAAAGAGGAAAGGUGAAGAUUAUCAGAGACUUUUUAAUGCACAGAAACUUUGUUAAUGAAUCGCUCACAGUUCAAAAUUAAACUUGGAUAGGGUUGUUUUCAAAUUAUUUGCCCGUUGAAAAUUAAACUUGGAUAAGGUUGAAUGAUACAAGAAUCAAUAUAACCAUGAAAUCAUCUAGACCCACUAAUUAAUUAUCAAUACAAGCCCAACUAUUAAUUUCCAACUAAUCACGUUGCUAAUAGAAUAUUCAAUAACAUUUUUCCAACCUAACUUAUUCCAAAUAAGGUAAGCAAGUAUCCUGUUUAAUCAAUUAAGGAACCAUUACAAGAAAUUUAGUCACUAACUAUCCCACUAAUAUAGAGAGAUGAUAGCAUGAUUUACUCUAAUUGAUUGCAUGCACCACUUAUUUUUUUAAAAUUGAUAUUUUCACAUGAUUUUUUGAUAUUUUUACAUGAAAAAAGUCGCUAUAGAUGUAUAGCGACGGCAAAAAUUGUCGCUAUAGGAUUUAUAGUGACGGUUUUCAUGUGAAAAUAUAAAAAAAUCACGUGAAAAUAUAAGUUUCUCUAAUUUUUCCUACUAAAGAAUACUGCAAUCUUUUUGUAAACCAUUGACUAACCUUAAUCCCAAGAGGCAAUCCAAUCAACCAAAGGUUUAGAUUUCAAAUCAAAUCCGGCUGAUAUAAGAUAAUUAAUAAUUGCAAUACCAUGUAAUAAGCUUAGCAGCUUAAUUUAAGGAACAUGAUAUCUUAUAUCAGUAUACUCCACCUCAACAGCAUAUUGAUCAGCAUAUUGCUUCAUUGUAGUCUUCUGUCCCACAUAAAAAGCUGAGGUGGAGUAUGUCACAUCAGCAAUUUGUAAAAUAAUUUGUAUCUCUAGCAUUUUUUUUAUUUUUAUUUUUUUUGAAUCAUUUGUGUAGCAUUAUUCUUCAAAAUUAAUAUGGAAAUAUUUUAAAAUGUUGGAUUUUAAUUGUUCCUAAAAUUAGGUGCUCUAAGUCAUUGCAUUGCAUUUAAAUAAUUAUGAAAAUGGCAAAGUUGUGAUUAAUAAAUUUAAAUGGACAUCUAAAAUAAAAGUGGUGAAAAUUAAAGAAUGCAUUUCGGUUGAUAAAAAAGAUUAUUUUAAGGUGUAUAUAUUAAAAUUGGAUAAUUAGAUAAUCAAAUAUAAUCAUCUGGUUAGAACAUCUAACUAGUGGCUGACUCCUAUAAAUGAUUCCUUAAAGACAACAUAUCAAAUUGAUUAUAUAUUGGAUCCAGAAAUAUUUAAGAUAUGCAUUCCUCCUUAAAUCAAGGAAAGCGCAAUUAAUUUGUUCCAUAAUAAAUUAACCACUUCAAUAAUUAUUUUCAUACAAUUCAAAAUUAUUUCCAUAUUAAUUUUGAAAUCCAAAUUUAUUUAAAUUUUCCCUCAUUAAUUAGCUUUCUAAAAAUUACUUUCAGAAUGUACAAAUAUAUGAUACACCAAUAUCACACACCUUCCUAACAAAAAAAUGCACCAAAAUCACUUUCAGAAUGUACAAAUAUAUGAUACACCAAGAAAAAUAUAACUAAAGUCAAUAAAAUUUUGCAAGCCCAAAUCUGAAAACAAAAUGAAACAUUAUUUUUACACAAACAAAACCCCCUCUGGCACAUUUUGCAUUGCAAAUAGUUCUCAUCUAUGACUGACAUCAAAAGUUAGAACGCAGGCUUUAAGUUGAAAUCACUUCUAGGAUCAAAAAGUAGAGGAGUAAUUCACAAUUUAAAAAAUAGUCAACAUGGAAACACCAAUAAAAAAUUUCACCUAGAUGUAAAGUGGUGUUACAAAGCCAAUCAUUAAGUGCUCCUUAAUUACUACUCCUUCCGUUCCUAAAAGAUUGUCGUUUAAGGUUUUGGCACAUGGAUUAAGAAAGUAUCAUUUACCAAGUAAAAUUUGUUUGAAAUUUCAUCACUACCCCUCUAUCGGAAUUGAAAACUAUUAAUACAAGAGAUAAUUUUUUGGGACAAUGAGAGAAGGUAGGGGUAAUGUAGGAAAAUAAAUAAUUUAUUUUUUUUAAACGACAAACAUUUUGGAACAAAUUUUUUACAACAAUCUUUUAGGAACGGAUGGAGUAUAUAACUGGAGUAACUACAACGUAUACCAGGGGAAAUACUAUACAUAGGUAUACUAAGAAACAUAGAGCUAAGUCAAAGAAAGGCUUUCACAUACCACAUACCUACGAAGUUUGAUCUAAGAAAUACGUAAUACCAUUCUCACACAAAAAACCAUCUAUGAAGUAAAAGAACGACCAACAUGAAAUUCAGAACAUCACAAAUUAAGAUAAUUUCAACAAAUAAUAGAAUUAUAGAUAUUAUACUAGAAAUAUAGAGAGAUUUGGAAUAUAUUUGAUUUAAUUCAAAGCUUUGAAAGGAUUUCGAAAUUACCUGUGAAUUAGAAAGUUUAGAAAUAUGAUGAUGCUAACUUGGAGCCAAAAAAUUGCGAUGAAAUUGAUUAUGUACCGAUCUCAGUCAUGGACCGAUCUCGCUUCUCCUCCCAUCGCUCUCCUCCUAUAGGGGUUCUCAAUAGAGAACAAAAUCCAUUGACUGAAUAAGAACUGGUAAAAGCCCUAUAUAUAAUAAUUUAGGGGCAAAAAUGAUCCCGAGUGGAUUCUGUUGGGC
rnacentral:lncRNA from 1 species